rnacentral:rRNA from 1 species
UACGUAGGGGGCAAGCGUUGUCCGGAAUCAUUGGGCGUAAAGCGCGUGUAGGCGGCCCGGUAAGUCCGCUGUGAAAGUCGGGGGCUCAACCCUCGAAUGCCGGUGGAUACUGUCGGGCUAGAGUGCGGAAGAGGCGAGUGGAAUUCCUGGUGUAGCGGUGAAAUGCGCAGAUAUCAGGAGGAACACCAAUUGCGAGGGCAGCUCGCUGGGACGUGACUGACGCUGAGACGCGAAAGCGUGGGGAGCAAACAGG